rnacentral:lncRNA from 1 species
AUGUAAUAAAUAAUUUUUAUUAUAAUAAUUAUUAUCUUUAUUAUAUCCAUUAUUAUUAAGUGUGAAAGUAAAACUUGGUUUAUUGAAUGAACUAAUAAAGUAAAAAAACUUGCAUUUUUCCGGAUCAAAAUUUUUGGCGAAAAAACAGCGAAAGGAUGCAUUUGUAAAAUGGCAUCUGCACUGAUGACCAAAAAUGUUGAAAAAAAUUACUCUGGUACUGGGAAAAGAAUAAAAGGCGUGGGAAAACUUAAUUUUAGCGCAACAGAAACAUUUAAGUGUAUGGAAGAUGUAGUAAAAGAGAAACUUGGUGACUGUGAAGAUUGCAAAAAUUUUGCCGGAAAAGUUGGCCGGUGGUUGUCAGGGCAAGGAGAUCGAGAACAGGGUCGAAAA